AUUCUCUUGAUCUCUCUCUUCGUUUUUUAGUUAUUGAGUUUCUCUUCGGGUUGGUUUCUGGUCUCUAAGUGGUUUCUCUCAUGGCUGGGCGCUACGAUCCUAACCCUUUCGAUGAACAAUGAAGAAGAAGUUAAUCCCUUUUCUGAUCCAGCUGUAAGGGGGAAAGCAUCAGGUCAGCAGAAGUUCAGUGGAGGUGCAUUUUACACAUCAAGCGCUCCUUGCUCCUCCUGCUUCAAACUCUAGGCUUUCACCACUUCCUCCUGAGCCUGCUGAUUUUGGUUAUGAUCAUGGUGCAACAGUUGAUAUUCCAAUUGAUUCCACUACAGAUUUGAAGAAGAAAGAAAGGGAACUCCAAGCUAAGGAGGCUGAAUUGAGA
rnacentral:misc_RNA from 1 species